GGUGGCUUAGUGGUAGAGUGCUUGCCUUGCAUGCAUGAGGACCUGGGUUCGAUUCCUCAGUACCA
rnacentral:tRNA from 1 species